GACAGAGGUGCCGAGCGUUAGGCGGAAUCACUGGGCUUAAAGCGUGUGUAGGCGGAUGCCUAAGUACCUUGUGAAAUCCCACGGCUCAACCGUGGAACUGCCUCGGAUACUGGCGGCCUCGAGGGGGGUAGGGGCGUGCGGAACUGUGGGUGGAGCGGUGAAAUGCGUUGAUAUCCACAGGAACUCCGGUGGCGAAGGCGGCACGCUGGACCUCUUCUGACGCUGAGGCGCGAAAGCCAGGGGAGCAAACGGG
rnacentral:rRNA from 1 species